rnacentral:tRNA from 1 species
GCGGAUGUGGCGGAACUGGUAGACGCACCAGAUUUAGGUUCUGGCAUCGAAAGGUGUGGAGGUUCGAGUCCUCUCAUCCGCACCA